UAUAUUUUCGCACUGAUAAACAAUAAAUUCAAUUGACAUCACUGCAGGGUGCCUAUACUCUAAGAAAUUUGUACAUAGUGGUACCGUUAAAACUACAUACUUUGAAGUUCGACAACUUUUACGUAGAAGUGGGUUUCAGAAAUUACAUACUUUGUCAGUUCUUUCUAUUCUACAAAAUCCUCUAUGUAGGAAGAACUUCAAUUUUAAGUAAAUUUGUAGAUGACGGCGUUUUGCUUUUCACUCACACCACCAGGGAGUCAGUCUGUUAUUUGCAUCCUACUUGCGCGCACGCAACAAUUUUGCGGAACUUCCCCAUAAGUCUUUGCGAAAACAGAAAAAUUUCUCUCGGAUAGUUGUUAUGGUUUCCACUGGGGAAGCGAUAUGAAACGCUAUCAUAGACGAUUCAACAAUCUGAUUCCACCAUAGUUGCGGCCUCAAAAUUUCUUCGCUCCUCUCGGAAAGUUGUUGUUUUCCUCUAGGUCCCGAAGCAACAUGCCGAUUCCACCAUAGUCCCAGUCGCAACCAAGCAAACCAAAAAAAUUGGAUUGACAACCUCAUCGGCCAAUCUCGGGUCCCCUGGAUACCCAGCCCCAGAAUCUGCAGCCCAAUGACCAGCCCAAGCUAACCGAUGUGCCAAAGUGACCAAUGAUAUAAC